rnacentral:rRNA from 2 species
UGGUAAUGCCGGAUGUUCCAGUUGAUCGCAUGGUCUUCUGGGAAAGCUUUCGCGGUAUGGGAUGGGGUCGCGUCCUAUCAGCUUGACGGCGGGGUAACGGCCCACCGUGGCUUCGACGGGUAGCCGGCCUGAGAGGGCGACCGGCCACAUUGGGACUGAGAUACGGCCCAGACUCCUACGGGAGGCAGCAGUGGGGAAUAUUGCACAAUGGGCGCAAGCCUGAUGCAGCGACGCCGCGUGAGGGAUGGAGGCCUUCGGGUUGUAAACCUCUUUUAUCGGGGAGCAAGCGUGAGUGAGUUUACCCGUUGAAUAAGCACCGGCUAACUACGUGCCAGCAGCCGCGGUAAUACGUAGGGUGCAAGCGUUAUCCGGAAUUAUUGGGCGUAAAGGGCUCGUAGGCGGUUCGUCGCGUCCGGUGUGAAAGUCCAUCGCUUAACGGUGGAUCCGCGCCGGGUACGGGCGGGCUUGAGUGCGGUAGGGGAGACUGGAAUUCCCGGUGUAACGGUGGAAUGUGUAGAUAUCGG